UCGGGAAUUUUGGGCAAUGGGGGAAACCCUGACCCAGCAACGCCGCGUGAAGGAUGAAGUAUUUCGGUAUGUAAACUUCGAAAGAAUAGGAAGAAUUAAUGACGGUACUAUUUAUAAGGUCCGGCUAACUACGUG
rnacentral:rRNA from 1 species